UGGGGAAUAUUGGACAAUGGGCGCAAGCCUGAUCCAGCCAUGCCGCGUGAGUGAUGAAGGCCCUAGGGUUGUAAAGCUCUUUCAGCGAGGAGGAUAAUGACGUUACUCGCAGAAGAAGCCCCGGCUAACUUCGUGCCAGCAGCCGCGGUAAUACGAAGGGGGCUAGCGUUGUUCGGAAUCACUGGGCGUAAAGCGCACGUAGGCGGACUUUUAAGUCAGGGGUGAAAUCCCGGGGCUCAACCUCGGAACUGCCUUUGAUACUGGAAGUCUGGAGUCCGAGAGAGGUGAGUGGAACUCCGAGUGUAGAGGUGAAAUUCGUAGAUAUUCGGAAGAACACCAGUGGCGAAGGCGGCUCACUGGCUCGGUACUGACGCUGAGGUGCGAAAGCGUGGGGAGCAAAACAGGAUUAGAUACCCUGGUAGUCUACGCCGUAAACGAUGGAAGCUAGCCGUCAGGGUGCAUGCAUCUUGGUGGUGCAGUUAACGCAUUAAGCUUCCCGCCUGGGGAGUACGGUAGCAAGAUUAAAAACUCAAAUGAAUUGACGGGGUCAUAGCUGUUUCCU
rnacentral:rRNA from 1 species